UGGGCUGAGGAGGAAGACACCAAAGACCCCGCUGAGACCACGUCUACGGAGACACGGUGACAAUAAAUGCACUGAUGGGCUUGACUGACAGAGGUGCCUUUCAGAUCUCCAGAAGACCUGCGGAGGAGACGUCAGCGUUUGGAUGUACAGUGCAGUCAUCCAUAAAGUAGAAAGCACUACUAAACCGCUCGCCACCGUGUAGUGUUUCCUACUUUAUGGAUGAGUGCACUGUUUGCUGCUGGGAGAACGUCGUGAGACGAAGACUUCACGCAGGAACGGAGAAAAGAGGAAGUCGCUUUGUUUCAUAAAGCCGUGCAGAUCUCACAGUGUGUUCAUGCAAGUCCACGUGAGAUGGCUGUACGCUUACAGAAACCAAGGCCAGCUUCCUCUCAACGUUUCACUGAUGUGUGUCUUGUUGUUCAAGUUUCAAUAAAAAACAAUUAAAAAAAGACAAAGAGUGUUUUUCUUUCGAGUCAAUCAAUCCCAACAAAAACUCAUAAGCAGACAUUUUACGUGAAAAUAUAUUUUAUUUCUGUAAAAAGUCCAUAUUGCAACAAGUCUUCAAGUUAAACUUUCCAAGAGCGCGGGACUGCUCACUUCACCAAUCCAAAAUCAUGACUCCGCCAUGCAAACACAAACCAAACACAAAGACUUUGAAGCAUUAUAUACAUGUUGGGGUUUCAAAAAAUCGUUACAAAAAUGUACAAAAUGUCCAGUCAACCUUCUGCCAAAGAUCCCAGACACAAGAAUAGAGUCUCUUUCUCACUAUAUGAAAAUAUUACACCUCAGAAUCACAAAAAUCCAUCAAACUCAACACAUAUACAGAAAAACCAGCAGCUCUCACGCUGCAGACGUGGCCGCCUCCGUAUUUCCUCAAAAAACAUUUACGUGCAUCUACAGUACUACAACUACACAUAGUUAGAAUAAAUAAGGCAGAAUAUAGAUGGAGGGCCAUCGUGCAUGCAGUCCACACAAGUCUGUACGUAAUAAAGUCCGGUAAGGCUAGGCCUGGGAUCGACUUGCUGAAAUAGCGAUGAAAACGUUCAAAUCUGCGGCCUGUGCGUGCUGUGGAGUUAAGCCGUGGCAGGGAUUACAGCGUGUUAUUCAGAUUAUAGUGCAGCUAGGAGGAAAGUCUCUACUGUAGAAAUGUGUCAUUUAGAUAUAAUCAAAACAAGCGUAUAAAUUCAUUGCCCUGUGGCUUUUCUCUUGGAAAAACAAAGUACGACUAUUGAGAAGAGUUGAAAGCUUGGCCUACUUCCGCUCCGUGAUGUUUGAACUUUAGCUCC